AACUUUCAUUAGAAUAA
rnacentral:tRNA from 1 species